rnacentral:rRNA from 1 species
ACUCCUACGGGAGGCAGCAGUGGGGAAUAUUGCGCAAUGGGGGAAACCCUGACGCAGCAACGCCGCGUGAGUGAUGAAGGCCCUCGGGUCGUAAAGCUCUGUUGGGUGGGAAGAAUUUUGACGGUACCACCUGAGGAAGCACCGGCUAACUCCGUGCCAGCAGCCGCGGUAAUACGGAGGGUGCAAACGUUGUUCGGAAUCAUUGGGCGUAAAGAGCACGUAGGCGGCUCAUUAGGUCGGGUGUGAAAUCCCCGGGGCUUAACCCCGGAAUUGCGCUCGAAACCGGUGAGCUUGAAUCCUGGAGGGAGAAGUAGAAUUCCUGGUGUAGGGGUGAAAUCCGUAGAUAUCAGGAGGAAUACCAGUGGCGAAGGCGACUUCUUGGCCAAGGAUUGACGCUGAGGUGCGAAAGCGUGGGUAGCAAACAGGAUUAGAUACCCUGGUAGGAUA